rnacentral:rRNA from 1 species
AUGCUAGAGAAUAGUUCUGGUUCUUGCAUCUCACCAAGAGAAUAUUAUUGUUUCAAGCUGCAAAUUAGACCUGGGAAGUUUAACAUCUUACUCUUUGGAAGGCGAUUGACUCAACAAUAUAUAGUUGAUAUGUACAUUAAGAUUGAAUCAAUAAGAUUGGCAUUCUUGUCAAAGCCAUCAACUCAGGUUCUCAUCAGAGCAGAUUUGUAUCAAGGAUUGGUCGAUAGCAUUGUUGCCGGUGAAACACGUGGGUGCAUGACAGGUAGGCGCAUUGUG